rnacentral:sRNA from 1 species
UCAGUUUCUAGGCAAAACUCUAGCUGAAAGUUAAGAUCAAAUUCUCGGUCGCCAGUAAACAGAUUGUAGCCGAAUUGCUUUGAAGAUCAUCCUUGAUCACCAGCAUGUGCUGCCAAAGUCGCUUCUACCGGGAAACGCCCUGUGUCCAGUGUUGCCUCAUCGACUGCAGCUACUGCUGCUAUCGCACCAGCUGCGCCGGACCCUGUGGUCCAUGUGGCACCGGGAGUCCUUGUGGCCCCUGCUGUGGCGGAGCCACCGGCGAUUUGAACUAUAAAUAUUCCUUCUUUGGUCUGCACUUGCUAUAACUGUGGAAAAUCUGCAGUGGCCCAUGGAGAAGCUGGUGAUGAACGGCCUCAUUUAGCCACAAAUUAUUGGUUGUCCAAAAUUAUAUGUGAAUCGAAUUAUUUGAAUAAUAUUUUAUAAAUAUUUAUUUAUUGAAGCGCAAUAA